rnacentral:misc_RNA from 1 species
GAUGAAGAACGUAGCAAAAUGCGAUAAGUAAUGUGAAUUGCAGAAUUCAGUGAAUCAUCGAAUCUUUGAACGCACAUUGCGCCCGCUGGUAUUCCGGCGGGCAUGCCUGUUCGAGCGUCAUUUCAACCCUCAAGCCCCCCGGGUUUGGUGUUGGGGAUCGGCUCUGCCUCGCGGCGGUGCCGCCCCCGAAAUACAUUGGCGGUCUCGCUGCAGCCUCCAUUGCGUAGUAGCUAACACCUCGCAACUGGAACGCGGCGCGGCCAUGCCGUAAAACCCCAACUUCUGAAUGUUGACCUCGGAUCAGGUAGGAAUACCCGCUGAACUUAAGCAUAUCAAUAAGCGGAGGA